rnacentral:rRNA from 1 species
CACUCCUGCGGGAGGCAGCAGUGGGGAAUUUUGGACAAUGGGCGAAAGCCUGAUCCAGCAAUGCCGCGUGCAGGAUGAAGGCCUUCGGGUUGUAAACUGCUUUUGUACGGAACGAAAAAGCUCCUUCUAAUACAGGGGGCCCAUGACGGUACCGUAAGAAUAAGCACCGGCUAACUACGUGCCAGCAGCCGCGGUAAUACGUAGGGUGCGAGCGUUAAUCGGAAUUACUGGGCGUAAAGCGUGCGCAGGCGGUUAUGUAAGACAGAUGUGAAAUCCCCGGGCUCAACCUGGGAACUGCAUUUGUGACUGCAUGGCUAGAGUACGGUAGAGGAGGAUGGAAUUCCGCGUGUAGCAGUGAAAUGCGUAGAUAUGCGGAGGAACACCGAUGGCGAAGGCAAUCCCCUGGACCUGUACUGACGCUCAUGCACGAAAGCGUGGGGAGCAAACAGGAUUAGAAACCCUAGUAGUCCCAUGAU